rnacentral:lncRNA from 1 species
CCGCUCAGUCAGCAGGGUGGGCGUGGCCUUCUCCCUGCCUGCAUCUGAAAUGCAGUUUAAAGGUCAGGAAGACUGAUCUUUCGCUUCUGAAUCCUCUGAGAGUUCCUCAGGCCCUCCUGUGUGAGGCCCAGCUGCUUCCUGCCUGGUCUUCCUGGAUCCACAGACAAGACAUAGCAUGUGCCCCUAAUUGUACACUCGCCACCCUUUCCAGGCCCAGUGGAGAGGACUGGAGGCAGGGAGGCAGUCCCUGCCUGCGACAAACCGACAGAGAUAAUGGGUCUUGUGCUGUCCUUGGGCACAGGACUGGGGCUUUGGGUGACAGAGCCUGAGUCAAGGCCAAGGGGCUCCCAGGCACUCUCUCCCCCUAGCCCAUCCCCUCCCCACCGCAGUGGGGCUGCAUGGCCUCACCUUCUCUGCCUCCUCACGGCUCAUGGCGAGGGCCAGCUGCAGCUGCAGUUCCUCUUCCCCUGACGUCUGAGGCCGGGCCUGCUCCAGGUCGGAGGUAUAGCGGGGUGACGAAGAGGAGGCUGCAAUGACCAUCAUGUCUCUGUGACCACACGAUUACCCAUCGGCUCCCACACCCCUCUGCCUGCCAGGAAGCUGAGGCUCAAGAGAACUGAGAGGAGGGGAACAACGGCCGUUGAGGCCCCCGUGGGCCAAGCAGUGUGCCAGGCACUCGAUCAAACAAUGGAGGUAGGUGAGCUUAUCCCCACUGUACAGAUGAGGAAACUGAGGUUCAGAGAACUGGUUGCCCAGGUCACACAGCUUGGAGGAAGCAGAAUAUAGAAUGCUAUCUGACUCCAAACCCAUGCUUCCACUAUCGCGCCAUCCUAUCAGGCAGCUAACGAAUGAUAAUGAAUCUAUAACAACGUUAUUAUCUGAGCUA